rnacentral:tRNA from 1 species
GGAGAGGUGCUAGAGUGGUUGAAUAGGACGCUCUCGAAAAGCGUUGGGCUCGCAAGAGUUCCGGGAGUUCGAAUCUCCCCCUCUCCGCCA